rnacentral:ncRNA from 2 species
CCUGCGCGCCUUGCUUCAGGUGCCCCGCGUCGUCUCCAUCGACGGCGCCGGGGUGAAACAGGGAAGCCGGUUCCAAUGCCGGCGCUGCCCCCGCAACGGUAGGUGAGUCAAACGCUGUUUCAGGCCACUGUGCAAUGCACGGGAAGGCGCAGCGUCGAACCUUUCAGGUUCGCUCACGAGCCCGGAGACCGGCCUGUCGCAGUUCCACGGC